CGUAGGUGGCAAGCGUUGUCCGGAUUUAUUGGGUUUAAAGGGUGCGUAGGCGGUUCCAUAAGUCAGUGGUGAAAUACGGCAGCUCAACUGUCGAGGUGCCAUUGAUACUGCGGAACUUGAGUACUGAUGAGGUAGGCGGAAUUGACGGUGUAGCGGUGAAAUGCUUAGAUAUCGUCAAGAACACCGAUAGCGAAGGCAGCUUACCAAGCAGUAACUGACGCUGAGGCACGAAAGUGCGGGGAUCAAACAGGAUUAGAUACCCUGGUAGUCCGCGCAGUAAACGAUGAUUACUCGAUGUUGGCGACACACAGCCAGCGUCUUAGCGAAAGCGAUAAGUAAUCCACCUGGGGAGUACGCCCGCAAGGGUG
rnacentral:rRNA from 1 species